rnacentral:rRNA from 1 species
AGUAAAAGUCGUAACAAGGUUUCCGUAGGUGAACCUGCGGAAGGAUCAUUAUCGAAUAAACUAGGUGGGUUGUUGCUGUCCCUCUCGGGGGAAUUGUGCACGCCCUACCUUUUUUGUUUUUCCACCUGUGCACACACUGUAGGUCUGGAGGGGAAGGGAGGCAACUCCCUGACGCUUCAGGUCCUAUGUCUUUACACAUACACUAUUAAAAGUAACAGAACGAUUCAAUGGGCUCUAAGCCUAUAAACUAUAUACAACUUUCAGCAACGGAUCUCUUGGCUCUCGCAUCGAUGAAGAACGCAGCGAAAUGCGAUAAGUAAUGUGAAUUGCAGAAUUCAGUGAAUCAUCGAAUCUUUGAACGCACCUUGCGCUCGUUGGUAUUCCGACGAGCAUGCCUGUUUGAGUGUCAUUAAAUUCUCAACCUCAUCGCUUUUGUGAUGAUGGCUUGGAAGUGGAGGUUUUUUGCAGGCUGAAAAGUCUGCUCCUCUCAAAUGAAUUAGUGGGUGCCCCGCGCAAACCUAUCUAUUGGUGUGAUAAUUAUCUACGCCGUGGAUCCUUAGGAUUGCUGUAAAAAGGUGUUUGCCCUGCUUCUAACCGUCUUCGGACAACUUGAACCAUUUGACCUCAAAUCAGGUAGGACUACCCGCUGAACUUAAGCAUAUCAAUAAGCGGAGGA